rnacentral:rRNA from 1 species
AGUGAACGCUGGCGGUAGGCCUAACGCAUGCAAGUCGAACGGCAGCACAGUAAGAGCUUGCUCUUAUGGGUGGCGAGUGGCGGACGGGUGAGGAAUACAUCGAAAUCUACCUUUUCGUGGGGGAUAACGUAGGGAAACUUACGCUAAUACCGCAUACGACCUUCGGGUGAAAGCAGGGGACCUUCGGGCCUUGCGCGGAUAGAUGAGCCGAUGUCGGAUUAGCUAGUUGGCGGGGUAAAGGCCCACCAAGGCGACGAUCCGUAGCUGGUCUGAGAGGAUGAUCAGCCACACUGGAACUGAGACACGGUCCAGACUCCUACGGGAGGCAGCAGUGGGGAAUAUUGGACAAUGGGCGCAAGCCUGAUCCAGCCAUACCGCGUGGGUGAAGAAGGCCUUCGGGUUGUAAAGCCCUUUUGUUGGGAAAGAAAAGCAGUCGAUUAAUACUCGGUUGUUCUGACGGUACCCAAAGAAUAAGCACCGGCUAACUUCGUGCCAGCAGCCGCGGUAAUACGAAGGGUGCAAGCGUUACUCGGAAUUACUGGGCGUAAAGCGUGCGUAGGUGGUUGUUUAAGUCUGUUGUGAAAGCCCUGGGCUCAACCUGGGAACUGCAGUGGAAACUGGACGACUAGAGUGUGGUAGAGGGUAGCGGAAUUCCUGGU